GCGGCGGACGGGUGAGUAACACGUGGGUAACCUACCUAUAAGACUGGGAUAACUUCGGGAAACCGGAGCUAAUACCGGAUAACAUUUGGAACCGCAUGGUUCUAAAGUGAAAGAUGGUUUUGCUAUCACUUAUAGAUGGACCCGCGCCGUAUUAGCUAGUUGGUAAGGUAACGGCUUACCAAGGCGACGAUACGUAGCCGACCUGAGAGGGUGAUCGGCCACACUGGAACUGAGACACGGUCCAGACUCCUACGGGAGGCAGCAGUAGGGAAUCUUCCGCAAUGGGCGAAAGCCUGACGGAGCAACGCCGCGUGAGUGAUGAAGGGUUUCGGCUCGUAAAACUCUGUUAUUAGGGAAGAACAAAUGUGUAAGUAACUGUGCACAUCUUGACGGUACCUAAUCAGAAAGCCACGGCUAACUACGUGCCAGCAGCCGCGGUAAUACGUAGGUGGCAAGCGUUAUCCGGAAUUAUUGGGCGUAAAGCGCGCGUAGGCGGUUUCUUAAGUCUGAUGUGAAAGCCCACGGCUCAACCGUGGAGGGUCAUUGGAAACUGGGAAACUUGAGUGCAGAAGAGGAAAGUGGAAUUCCAUGUGUAGCGGUGAAAUGCGCAGAGAUAUGGAGGAACACCAGUGGCGAAGGCGACUUUCUGGUCUGUAACUGACGCUGAUGUGCGAAAGCGUGGGGAUCAAACAGGAUUAGAUACCCUGGUAGUCCACGCCGUAAACGAUGAGUGCUAAGUGUUAGGGGGUUUCCGCCCCUUAGUGCUGCAGCUAACGCAUUAAGCACUCCGCCUGGGGAGUACGACCGCAAGGUUGAAACUCAAAGGAAUUGACGGGGACCCGCACAAGCGGUGGAGCAUGUGGUUUAAUUCGAAGCAACGCGAAGAACCUUACCAAAUCUUGACAUCCUUUGAAAACUCUAGAGAUAGAGCCUUCCCCUUCGGGGGACAAAGUGACAGGUGGUGCAUGGUUGUCGUCAGCUCGUGUCGUGAGAUGUUGGGUUAAGUCCCGCAACGAGCGCAACCCUUAAGCUUAGUUGCCAUCAUUAAGUUGGGCACUCUAGGUUGACUGCCGGUGACAAACCGGAGGAAGGUGGGGAUGACGUCAAAUCAUCAUGCCCCUUAUGAUUUGGGCUACACACGUGCUACAAUGGACAAUACAAAGGGCAGCUAAACCGCGAGGUCAUGCAAAUCCCAUAAAGUUGUUCUCAGUUCGGAUUGUAGUCUGCAACUCGACUACAU
rnacentral:rRNA from 1 species